rnacentral:rRNA from 1 species
GAGUUUGAUCGUGGCUCAGAUUGAACGCUGGCGGCAUGCCUUACACAUGCAAGGUCGAACGGCAGCAUGAGUCUAGCUUGCUAGACUUGAUGGCGAGUGGCGAACGGGUGAGUAAUACAUCGGAACGUGCCCUGUAGUGGGGGAUAACUAGUCGAAAGAUUAGCUAAUACCGCAUACGACCUGAGGGUGAAAGUGGGGGACCGCAAGGCCUCAGUGCUAUAGGAGCGGGCCGAUGUCUGAUUAGCUAGUUGGUGGGGU